rnacentral:rRNA from 1 species
GACGAACGCUGGCGGCGUGCUUAACACAUGCAAGUCGAACGGAAAGGCCCUGCUUUUGUGGGGUGCUCGAGUGGCGAACGGGUGAGUAACACGUGAGUAACCUGCCCUUGACUUUGGGAUAACUUCAGGAAACUGGGGCUAAUACCGGAUAGGAGCUCCUGCUGCAUGGUGGGGGUUGGAAAGUUACGGCGGUUGGGGAUGGACUCGCGGCUUAUCAGCUUGUUGGUGGGGUAGUGGCUUACCAAGGCUUUGACGGGUAGCCGGCCUGAGAGGGUGACCGGCCACAUUGGGACUGAGAUACGGCCCAGACUCCUACGGGAGGCAGCAGUGGGGAAUAUUGCACAAUGGGCGGAAGCCUGAUGCAGCAACGCCGCGUGCGGGAUGACGGCCUUCGGGUUGUAAACCGCUUUCGCCUGUGACGAAGCGUGAGUGACGGUAAUGGGUAAAGAAGCACCGGCUAACUACGUG